UAAUAGUAUGGGAGGCUGCCCGAUAGAGGGGGAUAACUACUGGAAACGGUGGCUAAUACCGCAUAAUGUCUACGGACCAAAGCAGGGGCUCUUCGGACCUUGCACUAUCGGAUGAACCCAUAUGGGAUUAGCUAGUAGGUGGGGUAAAGGCUCACCUAGGCGACGAUCUCUAGCUGGUCUGAGAGGAUGAUCAGCCACACUGGGACUGAGACACGGCCCAG
rnacentral:rRNA from 1 species